AUUGAACGCUGGCGGCAGGCCUAACACAUGCAAGUCGAACGAGUGGCGGACGGGUGAGUAAUGUCUGGGAAACUGCCCGAUGGAGGGGGAUAACUACUGGAAACGGUAGCUAAUACCGCAUACCAUCGGAUGUGCCCAGAUGGGAUGAGCUAGUAGGUGGGGUAACGGCUCACCUAGGCGACGAGCCCUAGCUGGUGUGAGAGGAUGACCAGCCACACUGGGACUAAGACACGGUCCGGAUUCCAACGGGAGGCAGCAAUGGGGAAUAUUGCGCAAUAGGGGAAAGCCUGAUGCAGCCAUGCCGCGUGUAUAAAGAAGGCCUUCAGGUUGUAAAGUACUUUCAGCGAGGAGACGUUACCCGCAGAAGAAGCACCGGCUAACUCCGUGCCAGCCGCCGCGGUAAUUC
rnacentral:rRNA from 1 species